rnacentral:rRNA from 1 species
AUACGGAGGGUGCAAGCGUUGCUCGGAAUCACUGGGCGUAAAGCGUACGCAGGCGGUUUACUAAGUCGGGUGUGAAAGCCCAGGGCUCAACCCUGGAACUGCAUUCGAAACUGGUAGACUUGAGUACGAGAGAGGAGAGCGGAAUUCCUGGUGUAGAGGUGAAAUUCGUAGAUAUCAGGAGGCACACCCGUGGCGAAAGCGGCUCUCUGGCCCGAUACUGACGCUCAUGUACGAAAGCGUGGGUAGCAAACAGGAUUAGAAACCCCGGUAGUCC